ACUAUUGAUAUAGCUUUACAGAAUAUAGAUUUUUCUUUAAUAAGGACAUAUUCCGUUGGUAAUUUUUAUAUAAGGCAAAGUUGAGCACUAAAAAGAGAUUGUGAGCACAAACAAAGGCACCCUGAUCAGCUCCCGACGUGGGAGAGUGGUUUGAUUUCGUUUCAUGUUUGGCACAUUAAUGGGGAAUCUUAAGGUCACUGUUGAUUUCUGGAAUUUGGUGUGUGUGUGACUACUCUACCCAGAAGUAUCUGCUGCGAAGCAAGAAACCCUGACAUCUCCUAUUUAUCUAGAUAGAAAG